CGCGGCUCCCCUCUUUAGGUUGGCUCUUCGCGGGACGCCCCGAGACUUCUCGACCGCUUCCGAAAAGAACCGAAGGGAAAUGGCGUAUAGGAUAGACAACAUUACACAAAGUGCAGAAAGGAGCAAGAAAUCAUGUGACCGAGCAAUUAAAGUGAUUAGCCAAAUUCACCUUGAAAAUUCAAACAGGAGUUGAAGAAAAGAAACCUUUCCUGCUGUUAGUGUCUCAGCGCAACUCAGGAUCUGCGGUAUACUGCUUCUGAACAAGGAAGUUUCAUUUUAGCCAUCCUGAUUAUUUAACAACUGUCAUUGUCUUCUGGAUUUGACUAAUCCUUUGUGAAAGCUAUCUGAGGGUGCAUCAACACAUUUGUAACAGUGAAUUUGAAAUAAUAAAUAUACAUUGA